AUUGAACGCUGGCGGCAUGCCUUACACAUGCAAGUCGAACGGUAACAGGUCUUCGGAUGCUGACGAGUGGCGAACGGGUGAGUAAUACAUCGGAACGCGCCUAGUAGUGGGGGAUAACUACUCGAAAGAGUGGCUAAUACCGCAUGAGAUCUACGGAUGAAAGCAGGGGAUCGCAAGACCUUGUGCUACUAGAGCGGCCGAUGGCAGAUUAGGUAGUUGGUGGGAUAAAAGCUUACCAAGCCGACGAUCUGUAGCUGGUCUGAGAGGACGAUCAGCCGCACUGGGACUGAGACACGGCCCAGACUCCUACGGGAGGCAGCAGUGGGGAAUUUUGGACAAUGGGCGAAAGCCUGAUCCAGCAAUGCCGCGUGCAGGAUGAAGGCCUUCGGGUUGUAAACUGCUUUUGUACGGAACGAAAAGCCCCGGGUUAAUACCCUGGGGUCAUGACGGUACCGUAAGAAUAAGCACCGGCUAACUACGUGCCAGCCGCCGCAGUAA
rnacentral:rRNA from 1 species